ACCUGGCCCGCACUCGGGGACAGCCUUUCGAAAGAAAGAUUAAUACCCGAUGCGGCCGCGUUCCCACAUGGGAUUGCGGUCAAAGAUUCAUCGGUGCGGGAUGGGGAUGCGCCUGAUUAGGCAGUUGGCGGGGUAACGGCCCACCAAGCCGACGAUCAGUAGGGGUUCUGAGAGGAAGGUCCCCCCACAUUGGAACUGAGACACGGUCCAAACUCCUACGGGAGGCAGCAGUGAGGAAUAUUGGUCAAUGGGCGGAAGCCUGAACCAGCCAAGUAGCGUGCAGGACGACGGCCCUCUGGGUUGUAAACUGCUUUUGUGCGGGGGUAAUGUGACCCACGUGUGGGUUAUUGCAAGUACCGCACGAAUAAGCAUCGGCUAACUCCGUGCCAGCAGCCGCGGUAAUACGGAGGAUGCGAGCGUUAUCCGGAUUUAUUGGGUUUAAAGGGAGCGUAGGUGGCCGGUUAAGUCAGUUGUGAAAAGCAGGUGCUCAACAUCUGCCUUGCAGUUGAAACUGUCCGGCUUGAGCGUGUGAGAGGCAGGCGGAAUUCGUGGUGUAGCGGUGAAAUGCUUAGAUAUCACGAAGAACUCCGAUUGCGAAGGCAGCUUGCUGGCCCACGUCUGACACUAAUGCUCGAAAGUGCGGGUAUCGAACAGGAUUAGAUACCCUGGUAGUCCGCACAGUAAACGAUGAAUACUCGCUGUUUGCGAUAGAAUGUAAGCGGCCAAGCGAAAGCGUUAAGUAUUCCACCUGGGGAGUACGCCGGCAACGGUGAAACUCAAAGGAAUUGACAGGGGCCCGCACAAGCGGAGGAACAUGUGGUUUAAUUCGAUGAUACGCGAGGAACCUUACCCGGGCUUGAAUUGCAUACGACGUGCGCGGAGACGCGCAU
rnacentral:rRNA from 1 species